GUGCUAGCUUUGGUAGCACAAACACAAAAAUUGGAAAAAUACAGAGAAGAUUAUGGCCCCUGCGCAAGGAUAACACAAAUUUGAGAAGCGUCUCAUAUUAAA